rnacentral:lncRNA from 1 species
GGCAUAUGUUAAAAAGAUUUCAUAUCGAAUGUACUAAAUUUGGGGUCCGACGUCCGUGAACUUUUCACUCUUUGAACUUCUAUUUGGGAACAACGUAAACGGAUCAAUAUAUGAAUCUGUUAUUUUCUCCGUUGUUGAAGCAUAUGAUAAAAAGAUCAUAACAUGUCAUUUUUCAUAUCGCAUGUAUUAUCAGCCCUCGGUCAAUAUCAGCCCUCGAGCCAUGCGGCUCUUGGGCUGAUAUUGAACCUAGGGCUGAUAAUACAUGCGAUAUGAAAAAUGCCAUGUAAUAAUCUGAUAUUAUCAA